rnacentral:rRNA from 1 species
UGCGUACCUUUUGUAUAAUGGGUCAGCGACUUAUAUUCUGUAGCAAGGUUAACCGAAUAGGGGAGCCGAAGGGAAACCGAGUCUUAACUGGGCGUUAAGUUGCAGGGUAUAGACCCGAAACCCGGUGAUCUAGCCAUGGGCAGGUUGAAGGUUGGGUAACACUAACUGGAGGACCGAACCGACUAAUGUUGAAAAAUUAGCGGAUGACUUGUGGCUGGGGGUGAAAGGCCAAUCAAACCGGGAGAUAGCUGGUUCUCCCCGAAAGCUAUUUAGGUAGCGCCUCGUGAAUUCAUCUCCGGGGGUAGAGCACUGUUUCGGCAAGGGGGUCAUCCCGACUUACCAACCCGAUGCAAACUGCGAAUACCGGAGAAUGUUAUCACGGGAGACACACGGCGGGUGCUAACGUCCGUCGUGAAGAGGGAAACAACCCAGACCGCCAGCUAAGGUCCCAAAGUCAUGGUUAAGUGGGAAACGAUGUGGGAAGGCCCAGACAGCCAGGAUGUUGGCUUAGAAGCAGCCAUCAUUUAAAGAAAGCGUAAUAGCUCACUGGUCGAGUCGGCCUGCGCGGAAGAUGUAACGGGGCUAAACCAUGCACCGAAGCUGCGGCAGCGACACUAUGUGUUGUUGGGUAGGGGAGCGUUCUGUAAGCCUGUGAAGGUGGCCUGUGAGGGUUGCUGGAGGUAUCAGAAGUGCGAAUGCUGACAUAAGUAACGAUAAAGCGGGUGAAAAGCCCGCUCGCCGGAAGACCAAGGGUUCCUGUCCAACGUUAAUCGGGGCAGGGUGAGUCGACCCCUAAGGCGAGGCCGAAAGGCGUAGUCGAUGGGAAACAGGUUAAUAUUCCUGUACUUGGUGUUACUGCGAAGGGGGGACGGAGAAGGCUAUGUUGGCCGGGCGACGGUUGUCCCGGUUUAAGCGUGUAGGCUGGUUUUCCAGGCAAAUCCGGAAAACCAAGGCUGAGGCGUGAUGACGAGGCACUACGGUGCUGAAGCGACAAAUGCCCUGCUUCCAGGAAAAGCCUCUAAGCAUCAGGUAACAUCAAAUCGUACCCCAAACCGACACAGGUGGUCAGGUAGAGAAUACCAAGGCGCUUGAGAGAACUCGGGUGAAGGAACUAGGCAAAAUGGUGCCGUAACUUCGGGAGAAGGCACGCUGAUAUGUAGGUGAAGCGACUUGCUCGUGGAGCUGAAAUCAGUCGAAGAUACCAGCUGGCUGCAACUGUUUAUUAAAAACACAGCACUGUGCAAACACGAAAGUGGACGUAUACGGUGUGACGCCUGCCCGGUGCCGGAAGGUUAAUUGAUGGGGUUAGCGGUAACGCGAAGCUCUUGAUCGAAGCCCCGGUAAACGGCGGCCGUAACUAUAACGGUCCUAAGGUAGCGAAAUUCCUUGUCGGGUAAGUUCCGACCUGCACGAAUGGCGUAAUGAUGGCCAGGCUGUCUCCACCCGAGACUCAGUGAAAUUGAACUCGCUGUGAAGAUGCAGUGUACCCGCGGCAAGACGGAAAGACCCCGUGAACCUUUACUAUAGCUUGACACUGAACAUUGAGCCUUGAUGUGUAGGAUAGGUGGGAGGCUUUGAAGUGUGGACGCCAGUCUGCAUGGAGCCGACCUUGAAAUACCACCCUUUAAUGUUUGAUGUUCUAACGUUGGCCCGUAAUCCGGGUUGCGGACAGUGUCUGGUGGGUAGUUUGACUGGGGCGGUCUCCUCCUAAAGAGUAACGGAGGAGCACGAAGGUUGGCUAAUCCUGGUCGGACAUCAGGAGGUUAGUGCAAUGGCAUAAGCCAGCUUGACUGCGAGCGUGACGGCGCGAGCAGGUGCGAAAGCAGGUCAUAGUGAUCCGGUGGUUCUGAAUGGAAGGGCCAUCGCUCAACGGAUAAAAGGUACUCCGGGGAUAACAGGCUGAUACCGCCCAAGAGUUCAUAUCGACGGCGGUGUUUGGCACCUCGAUGUCGGCUCAUCACAUCCUGGGGCUGAAGUAGGUCCCAAGGGUAUGGCUGUUCGCCAUUUAAAGUGGUACGCGAGCUGGGUUUAGAACGUCGUGAGACAGUUCGGUCCCUAUCUGCCGUGGGCGCUGGAGAACUGAGGGGGGCUGCUCCUAGUACGAGAGGACCGGAGUGGACGCAUCACUGGUGUUCGGGUUGUCAUGCCAAUGGCACUGCCCGGUAGCUAAAUGCGGAAGAGAUAAGUGCUGAAAGCAUCUAAGCACGAAACUUGC